CCCGGGGAGGGGGGAGUGUUUUACCUUCGUCCAGCAACCUCUCGAGGUGGUUGAAGAUCCCGCAGAAGUUGGGGAGGCUGCUCAUCAGCUUCUUGUCGUUCAUCAGCUGCAUCAGGACACCUGUAAACCCAGGUGAUACAGGAACGGAGCCAGAGAAGGAGGCCUGUAGAAAGCACCCAACUGAUGGCUGAAGAUAAAAAGAUGAUUAUAGAAUCCUACCAAAAGCUCAAUGGAGUGAUCUGUCAAAUAAACCAUAUCUUCACUUAGGACCUUCUGGAAGUACUCUCAUUCCAUUAACCUCUGUGGACAGUCUAUCAAAACAGAACCCAGUCCCUAAUAGGGAGUUGUAUUUCAUGAGAAGAACAAAAGAAGAUCAAUGCUGAUUUGGCUAGAUCACACCUCUUUCAUUUGAAAAAGAAGAGGCCUGGAUCCUGAACUCCUUACGUUUGCCUGAAUAAGAAGAGCUUACUCUAACCUGUUCUUUCCUUUGCAUUAAACAGAAGCUCUGACACAGCUGUAAAUAAAAUACUGUACUUAGGCUCUAUUAAUCUGUGCAAGUUUACAUUUUACACUCAACAUUUGCUGCUGGGAAACCAUCCAAAUUUAUAUCAUGUUUCCAAGUUAGCUAAG